UGGGGAAUAUUGGACAAUGGGCGCAAGCCUGAUCCAGCAAUGCCGCGUGAGUGAUGAAGGCCUUAGGGUUGUAAAGCUCUUUUACCAGGGAUGAUAAUGACAGUACCUGGAGAAUAAGCUCCGGCUAACUCCGUGCCAGCAGCCGCGGUAAUACGGAGGGAGCUAGCGUUGUUCGGAAUUACUGGGCGUAAAGCGCGCGUAGGCGGUUUCUCAAGUCAGAGGUGAAAGCCCGGGGCUCAACCCCGGAACUGCCUUUGAAACUAGGAGACUAGAAUCUUGGAGAGGUCAGUGGAAUUCCGAGUGUAGAGGUGAAAUUCGUAGAUAUUCGGAAGAACACCAGUGGCGAAGGCGACUGACUGGACAAGUAUUGACGCUGAGGUGCGAAAGCGUGGGGAGCAAACA
rnacentral:rRNA from 1 species